rnacentral:rRNA from 1 species
CCUACGGGAGGCAGCAGUGGGGAAUAUUGCGCAAUGGGCGAAAGCCUGACGCAGCGACGCCGCGUGAGGGAUGAAGGUCUUCGGAUCGUAAACCUCUGUCAGCAGGGAAGCACGGUCACUGUGCUAAUCAGCAGUGAAUUGACGGUACCUGCAAAGGAAGCACCGGCUAACUCCGUGCCAGCAGCCGCGGUAAUAGGGAGGGUGCGAGCGUUAAUCGGAAUUACUGGGCGUAAAGCGCUCGUAGGAGGUAUGUCAAGUCAAGGGUGAAAUCCCCGCGCUCAACGUGGGAACUGCCUUUGAAACUGGCGAACUUGAGUGUGUGAGAGGAUAGUGGAAUUCCAGGUGUAGGAGUGAAAUCCGUAGAUAUCUGGAGGAACAUCAGUGGCGAAGGCGACUAUCUGGCACAUAACCGACGCUGAGGAGCGAAAGCGUGGGUAGCAAACAGGAUUAGAUACCCGUGUAGUC